GCCGGAUUGGUGGAAUUGGUAUACACAAGAGCUUUAAACCCUCUUCAGCUACGAGUUCGAGUCUCGUAUCCGGUACCA
rnacentral:tRNA from 1 species